GAGACAGAGUCUCGCUCUGUCUCCCAGGCUGGAGUGCAAUCUCAGCUCACUGCAAGCUCCGCCUCCCGGGUUCACGCCAUUCUCCUGCCUCAGCCUCCCGAGUAGCUGGGACUACAGGUGCCCACCAAGCCUGGCUAAUCUUUUUUUGUAUUUUUAGUAGAGACGGGGUUUCACCGUGUUAGCCAGGAUGGUCUCGAUCUCCUGACCUCGUGAUCCACCCGCCUCGGCUUCCCAAAGUGCUGGGAUUACAAGCGUGAGCCACCGCGCCCGGCCUACUGUUCCCUUUUUUUGUAAAAGUAUAAACAAAUAUGUAUAUACAUUUGUAUUGCCAUAGUGAUAUAAAUUUUUUUAAACUUAAAAAAUAUUCCAGGCUGGGUGUGGUGGCACACGCCUGUAAUCCCAGCAUUUUGGGAGGCCGAGGCAGGUGGAUCACCUGAGGUCAGGAGUUUGACACCAGCCUGACCAACAUGGGGAAACCUCAUGUCUAUUAAAUACAAAAAUAGGCUGGGUGUGGUGGCUCACGCCCGUAAUCCCAGCACUUUGGGAGGCCAAGGCAGGUGGAUCACCUGAGGUUAGGAGUUCGAGACCAGCCUGGCAAACAUGGUGAAACCCUGUCUCUAUUAAAAAUAUAAAAAUUAGCCAGGCGUGGUGGUACACGCUUGUAAUCCUAGCUACUCGGGAGGCUGGGGCAGGAAAAUCACUUGAACCUGGGAGGUGGAGGUUGUAGUGAGCUGAGAUCACACCAUUGCACUCCAGCCUGGGCAACAAGAGCGAAACUCUGUCUAAAAAAAAAAAAAAAUUCUGGCUGAGCGCAGUGGCUCAUGCCUGUAAUCCUAGCACUAUGGGAUGCCAAGGCAGGUGAAUCACCUGAGGUCAGGAGUUUUGAGACCAGCCUGGCCAACAUGGUGAAACCCUGUCUCCACUAAAAAUACAAAAAAUAAGCCGGGCGUGGUGGCAUGCACCUUCAAUCCCAGCUACUUGGGAGGCUGAGGCAGGAGAACUGCUUGAAUCUGGGAGGCAGAGGCUGCAAGGAGCCGAGAAUGCCACUGCACUGCAGCCUGGGCAACAGAGCGAGACUCUGUCUAAAACAAAACAAAACGAACAAAAAAAAAUUCCCUAAAAAUGGAAAGCAAGAAAGAAACCAGUGAAACUAGCUGAGUCCUGAGUUGGUACAACCACACACAGAAGAAUCAUUUCAGGCGGCCUUUCUCUGGUAGCCACCACCAAGAGUUCACACGGAGGCCCUGGGUACUGGCUCCCCUCCCCACUGCCUCUGGAUCUCACCCUUAUGCUAGGCCUGUAUGCAAGCAGAGAGCCAAGCAGUCAAGGGAAAAUAAUGUGGGAGGGGAGCCAGGGGGAAGGAAACAGGUUGCUGAAGAGAAGGUGCCUCAUGACAAUCCUGUAAGUUGCCACCAGUGUGAAGGCUCCGGCUUGGUGAGUGUGGCUCCACACAUAUCACCACUCAGAGGCGCAGAGAGUGUGGCACUACCUAGUGAGGGCAGUGAAUGAUUCCACAGGACUCAGUCUUUCAGCAGAGGCUGGCUGCUGUUCUAGAAGCACUUUGGUCUACAGACUCCAAGGCUAGCCCCUGGGACACCCAGCCAUGUAACUCAGCCAGCCCACAGGUGGGCCAGAGUGGUGAGGACUCAGCCAGGACACAUGGAGUCUGCUGCCCAAUUCAUCCAGGGAAAUGAGGUCAGCCCUGGGGUUGGGGAAUAGGGCAGACAAGCUGCACUCAGACACAGGGUGCAGUGGGCAGGCUGGCGCGAGGGCAGAGGCGGCUCGGGCUCCUGGCUGUGGUCAUUCCCAUGGAUAUUUUCUGUGCCAUGACCUGUGCUGAGCACUUUAUGUCCAUGGAUACUGUUACGGGCUGAACUGUGUCCCUUCAAAUUCAUAUGUUACAGGACCUCAGAAUGGUACUGUAUUUGGAGAUAGGGUCUUUAUAGAGAUGAUUAAGGUAAAAUGAGGUCAAUAGGGUGGGUCCUAAUCUAGUAUGACAGGUGUUCUUAUAAGGGGAGAUUAGGACACAGACACACACAAAAGGAUGACCCUGUAAGGACUCAGGGAGAAGAUGGCUAUCAAUAAGCCAGGGAGAUGGGCACAGUGGCUCAGGCCUAUAAUCCCAGCACUUUUGGAGGCGGAGGUGGGCAGAUUGCCUGAGCUCAGGAGUUUGAGACCAGCCUGGGACAACAUAGCGAAACUCCAUCUCUACAAAAAAUACAAAAAUUAGCUGGGCGUGGUCGCACACGCCUGUCAUCCCAGUUACUUGGGAGGGGUAGCGGGGAAGGUGCUGAGGUGGGAGGAUAGCUUGAGCCCGAGAGGUUGAGGCUGCAGUGAGCUGAGAUCACGCCACUGCACUCUAGCCUGAGUGACAGAGCGAGACCCUGUCUCUUAAAAAAA
rnacentral:lncRNA from 1 species